rnacentral:rRNA from 1 species
ACGAACCGUCCAAACGUUAUUCGGAAUCACUGGGCUUAAAGGGUGCGUAGGCGGCUCGAAAAGUUGGGUGUGAAAGCCCUCGGCUCAACCGAGGAAUUGCGCCCAAAACUGCCGGGCUUGAGGGAGACAGAGGUGAGCGGAACUUAGGGUGGAGCGGUGAAAUGCGUUGAUAUCCUAAGGAACACCAGUAGCGUAAGCGGCUCACUGGGUCUCUUCUGACGCUGAGGCACGAAAGCUAGGGGAGCGAAGAGGAUUAGAUACCCUCGUAGUCCUAGCCUUAAACGAUGAGCACUGGUUUGGAGGGCCCUCCAUAGCCUUCCAGACGUAGCGAAAGUGUUAAGUGCUCCGCCUGGGGAGUAUGGUCGCAAGGCUG